GCCAGUGUGGUAUAGUGGUUAGCAUGCCUGCUUGAAAAAGUCAUGUGACAUUAUUGGAUUUAUUUUUGCGGUCCCGGGUUCAAUUCUCGGAAUUGCCC